AAUCUGGGACAAUGGCCGCAAGCGUGAUCCAGCCAUGCCGCGUGAGUGAAUAAGGCCUUCUUGUUGUAAAGCUUUUUCGGGCGGAAAGAAAUCGCGCAGGCUAAUACCCUGCGCUGAUGAAGGUACCGUUAUAAGAAGCUCCCGCUAACUACGUGCCCGCCUCCGCGGUAAUACGUAGGGUGCGAGCGUUAAUCGGAAUUACUGGGCGUAAAGCGUGCGCAGGCGGUUGAUUAAGACAGGCGUGAAAUCCCCGGGCUUAACCUGGGAACUGCGCUUGUGACUGGUCAGCUAGAGUACGGCAGAGGGGGGUGGAAUUCCACGUGUAGCAGUGAAAUGCGUAGAGAUGUGGAGGAACACCGAUGGCGAAGGCAGCCCCCUGGGCCGAUACUGACGCUCAUGCACGAAAGCGUGGGUAGCAAACAGG
rnacentral:rRNA from 1 species